rnacentral:rRNA from 1 species
UGGGGAAUUUUGGACAAUGGGGCAACCCUGAUCCAGCAAUGCCGCGUGAGUGAAGAAGGCCUUCGGGUUGUAAAGCUCUUUUGUCCGGGAAGAAAUCCCAUCCCUGAAUACGGGGUGGGGAUGACGGUACUGGAAGAAUAAGCACCGGCUAACUACGUGCCAGCAGCCGCGGUAAUACGUAGGGUGCAAGCGUUAAUCGGAAUUACUGGGCGUAAAGCGUGCGCAGGCGGUUGUGCAAGACCGAUGUGAAGUCCCCGGGCUUAACCUGGGAACUGCAUUGGUGACUGCACGGCUAGAGUGUGUCAGAGGGGGGUUAGAAUUCCACGUGUAGCAGUGAAAUGCGUAGAGAUGUGGAGGAAUACCGAUGGCGAAGGCAGCCCCCUGGGAUAACACUGACGCUCAUGCACGAAAGCGUGGGGAGCAAACAGGAUUAGAUACCCUGGUAGUCCACGCCCUAAACGGUGUCAACUAGUUGUCGGGGAUUAAUUUCCUUGGUAACGCAGCUAACGCGUGAAGUUG